UCGAACGGCAGCAUGAUCUAGCUUGCUAGAUUGAUGGCGAGUGGCGAACGGGUGAGUAAUACAUCGGAACGUGCCCUGUAGUGGGGGAUAACUAAUCGAAAGAUUAGCUAAUACCGCAUACGACCUGAGGGUGAAAGUGGGGGACCGCAAGGCCUCAUGCUAUAGGAGCGGCCGAUGUCUGAUUAGCUAGUUGGUGGGGUAAAGGCCCACCAAGGCGACGAUCAGUAGCUGGUCUGAGAGGACGAUCAGCCACACUGGGACUGAGACACGGCCCAGACUCCUACGGGAGGCAGCAGUGGGGAAUUUUGGACAAUGGGCGAAAGCCUGAUCCAGCAAUGCCGCGUGUGUGAAGAAGGCCUUCGGGUUGUAAAGCACUUUUGUCCGGAAAGAAAUGGCUCUGGUUAAUACCUGGGGUCGAUGACGGUACCGGAAGAAUAAGGACCGGCUAACUACGUGCCAGCAGCCGCGGUAAUACGUAGGGUCCAAGCGUUAAUCGGAAUUACUGGGCGUAAAGCGUGCGCAGGCGGUUGUGCAAGACCGAUGUGAAAUCCCCGAGCUUAACUUGGGAAUUGCAUUGGUGACUGCACGGCUAGAGUGUGUCAGAGGGGGGUAGAAUUCCACGUGUAGCAGUGAAAUGCGUAGAGAUGUGGAGGAAUACCGAUGGCGAAGGCAGCCCCCUGGGCAUAACACUGACGCUCAUGCACGAAAGCGUGGGGAGCAAACAGGAUUAGAUACCCUGGUAGUCCACGCCCUAAACGAUGUCAACUAGUUGUUGGGGAUUCAUUUCCUUAGUAACGUAGCUAACGCGUGAAGUUGACCGCCUGGGGAGUACGGUCGCAAGAUUAAAACUCAAAGGAAUUGACGGGGACCCGCACAAGCGGUGGAUGAUGUGGAUUAAUUCGAUGCAACGCGAAAAACCUUACCUACCCUUGACAUGCCACUAACGAAGCAGAGAUGCAUUAGGUGCUCGAAAGAGAAAGUGGACACAGGUGCUGCAUGGCUGUCGUCAGCUCGUGUCGUGAGAUGUUGGGUUAAGUCCCGCAACGAGCGCAACCCUUGUCUCUAGUUGCUACGAAAGGGCACUCUAGAGAGACUGCCGGUGACAAACCGGAGGAAGGUGGGGAUGACGUCAAGUCCUCAUGGCCCUUAUGGGUAGGGCUUCACACGUCAUACAAUGGUGCAUACAGAGGGUUGCCAAGCCGCGAGGUGGAGCUAAUCCCAGAAAAUGCAUCGUAGUCCGGAUCGUAGUCUGCAACUCGACUACGUGAAGCUGGAAUCGCUAGUAAUCGCGGAUCAGCAUGCCGCGGUGAUACGUUCCCGGGUCUUGUACACACCGCCCGUCACACCAUGGGAGUGGGCUUUACCAGAAGUAGUUAGCCUAACC
rnacentral:rRNA from 1 species